UACGAAGGGGGCUAGCGUUGCUCGGAAUCACUGGGCGUAAAGCGCACGUAGGCGGAUUGUUAAGUCAGGGGUGAAAUCCUGGAGCUCAACUCCAGAACUGCCUUUGAUACUGGCGAUCUUGAGUCCGGGAGAGGUGAGUGGAACUGCGAGUGUAGAGGUGAAAUUCGUAGAUAUUAGGAAGAACACCAGUGGCGAAGGCGGCUCACUGGCCCGGUACUGACGCUGAGGCGCGAAAGCGUGGGGAGCAAACAGU
rnacentral:rRNA from 1 species